AACGAACGCUGGCGGCAUGCCUAACACAUGCAAGUCGAACGAGACCUUCGGGUCUAGUGGCGCACGGGUGCGUAACGCGUGGGAACCUGCCCUUAGGUUCGGAAUAACUCCCCGAAAGGGGUGCUAAUACCGGAUAAUGUCUUCGGACCAAAGAUUUAUCGCCUUUGGAUGGGCCCGCGUUGGAUUAGCUAGUUGGUAGGGUAAAAGCCUACCAAGGCGACGAUCCAUAGCUGGUCUGAGAGGAUGAUCGGCCACACUGGGACUGAGACACGGCCCAGACUCCUACGGGAGGCAGCAGUGGGGAAUAGUGGACAAUGGGCGAAAGCCUGAUCCAGCAAUGCCGCGUGAGUGAUGAAGGCCUUAGGGUUGUAAAGCUCUUUUACCCGGGAUGAUAAUGACAGUACCGGGAGAAUAAGCUCCGGCUAACUCCGUG
rnacentral:rRNA from 1 species